UAUCGUCCACUCCUUUCUCCCUCACUCACACACGGUUUGUCUCCUCCAUCACUCUCCCCUCUCCAAAAACCUUCCAUUCAAGCUUUGAUCUUGCUUCCGUUGAAGUUAUCUUCGAGAAACUCCGACGAAUCGCUCCAUUCCACGUUUCUACCGUUUUCGUUUUGUCAAAAGGAAGGUGCGGAGAUGAUCUUCUUGAAGCCUUCACUUGAAAUUUCUGUUAUGUUCUUCGGCUUAGCGACCUCCUCCGUCUGGUUAUUUCCUUCAUAAUGCUCACUUUUAUCACCAAAUUUCCUUCGCCAGACAAUUGUCUUCCUUUCUUCCUUGGCCUGGCGAUAUCUACUACACACCUGGCUCAAAAAGGUGGAUGAGUUCAAUGAGGAAAUCAUUUGUGAUACAUACAAGGUGGAUGAGGCUGACAGAGAAGUUGAGGAGGAGCCGAGGGAGAAUAAAGAAGAAGAAAGAGAAGGUUUAGUAGAUGUUCAGCUCUCACUACGUGUGGUAGGCAAACAUGGCCCUUAGAUCAUGAGGAUAUAGGAGCAUGCCAGAAGGACAAUAACUAUCAACAUUACAGCAAUGUACUCCGAAGUGUGGUGACUCCAAUUGUCUAUAUCAUUAAUUUGGAAACUUAUGAACUUAUCUUGGAAGGAUAAUAACUAUCCACAUUGGGAAAGAUUAAAUGGAAUUUUAACAAAUUGAGCAUGGUGUCUGAAAUAGGAGGAGUGGAGUUGAAGCUACAGGGUGAGAAUUGCCGGCUAAAACUAAGCAGUUGCAUGCUUAAACAUCUUAAAUCAAUAUGGUGUAGAUGAAAAUGAGAUGAAGUCGAGUCUACUGAUGCCUAAAGUGGAGGAGGAUUUUGGGAGUUGUUGUAGAAUGCUUACAGAGAAAAUAUGACCUGAACUUAAUUACAUUCUAACAGCUUAUGCUGGACUUUUUGAAGAGCCAAAUGACUGUUAGGGUUUAUAUACAAGAAAUCACCUUUCGAGUGAUUGAAUACUGUAAAACUCUAAUAAUUAUUUUCCA